GACGAACGCUGGCGGCGUGCCUAAUACAUGCAAGUAGAACGCUGAAGAGAGGAGCUUCCUCUUCUUGGAUGAGUUGCGAACGGGUGAGUAACGCGUAGGUAACCUGCCUUGUAGCGGGGGAUAACUAUUGGAAACGAUAGCUAAUACCGCAUAACAAUGGAUGACACAUGUCAUUUAUUUGAAAGGGGCAAUUGCUCCACUACAAGAUGGACCUGCGUUGUAUUAGCUAGUAGGUGAGGUAAUGGCUCACCUAGGCGACGAUACAUAGCCGACCUGAGAGGGUGAUCGGCCACACUGGGACUGAGACACGGCCCAGACUCCUACGGGAGGCAGCAGUAGGGAAUCUUCGGCAAUAGGGGCAACCCUGACCGAGCAACGCCGCGGGAGUGAAGAAGGUUGUCGGAUCGUAAAGCUCUGUUGUAAGUCAAGAACGGGUGUGAGAGUGGAAAGUUCACACUGUGACGGUAGCUGACCAGAAAGGGACGGCUAACUACGUG
rnacentral:rRNA from 1 species